AUUGAACGCUGGCGGCAGGCUUAACACAUGCAAGUCGAGCGAGCGGCGGACGGGUGAGUAAUGUCUGGGAAACUGCCUGAUAGAGGGGGAUAACUACUGGAAACGGUAGCUAAUACCGCAUACAAUCAGAUGUGCCCAGCUGGGAUUAGCUAGUAGGUGGGGUAAUGGCGCACCUAGGCGACGAUCCCUAGCUGGUCGUAGAGGAUGACAAGACACAUGGGACAGUAGACACGGUCCAGACUCCGACGGGAGUCAGAAGUGGGGAAUAUUGCACAAUGGGCGCAAGCCUGAUGCAGCCAUGCCGCGUGUGUGAAGAAGGCCUUCGGGUUGUAAAGCACUUUCAGCGAGGAGGCGUUACUCGCAGAAGAAGCACCGGCUAACUCCGUGCCAGCCGCCGCGGUAAUAC
rnacentral:rRNA from 1 species